UACGGAGGGUGCGAGCGUUGUCCGGAAUCACUGGGCGUAAAGGGCGCGUAGGCGGCAGGCCAAGCGUGCGGUGAAAGUCCGGGGCUCAACCCCGGAUCUGCCGUGCGGACUGGUUUGCUAGAGCACUGUAGAGGCGAGUGGAAUUCCGGGUGUAGCGGUGGAAUGCGUAGAGAUCCGGAAGAACACCAGUGGCGAAGGCGGCCCGCUGGGCAGUGGCUGACGCUGAAGCGCGACAGCGUGGGGAGCAAACAGG
rnacentral:rRNA from 1 species